rnacentral:rRNA from 1 species
AGAACGAACGCUGGCGGCAGGCCUCAAACAUGCAAGUCUAGGGGGUGUAGCAAUACAUCACCGGCGGACGGGUGCGUAACACGUGGGAAUAUACCUUUUGGUUCGGAACAACGCAGGGAAACUUGCGCUAAUACCGAAUGUGCCCUUACGGGGGAAAGAUUUAUCGCCAAAAGGAUUAGCCCGCGUAGGAUUAGCUAGUUGGUGAGGUAAUGGCUCACCAAGGCUCCGAUCCUUAGCUGUUCUGAGAGGAAGAUCAGCCACACUGGGACUGAGACACGGCCCAGACUCCUACGGGAGGCAGCAGUUGGGAAUCUUGGACAAUGGGGAAACCCUGAUCCAGCCAUGCCGCGUGAGUGAUGAAGGCCUUCGGGUUGUAAAACUCUUUCGGACGGGACGAUAAUGACGGUACCCGUAGAAGAAGCUCCGGCUAACUUCGCGCCAGCAGCCGC